UGCCCACCUCUCCAAUGCUUGGAGCAGCAUGCAUGCAUAGGAACUGUGAAACCACAGUCUGUCUGUCUGUCCGUCCAUCCAUCCAUCCAUCCAUCCCUUCGCUAACCUGGUGAAGGAGUGAGGAGAGGCAGCACAUGACACAAGCCCAAAGCCAUCCAUGGUGUUCUGCUGCUACCUGGGAUUGGCUAUUGGAGAAGAAAUUUGAAGAUGCAUAGACAAAUCUGGAUUGUUUUAUUUAUGAAGGGGUCCAGGAGCAGAUGUCAGGAAGAUCCUGGGCUGGCGAAGCCGCAGGACAAUGUCGCAGGGGGAAGAGUGACUCCAGCACACAACAGCCACAUAUGUGUGAAGAUUAUAUCUAUAAUGAUGACCCAAACCAGUAAGAUGUCCUGUGUGUGUGUGUGUGUGUGUGUGUGUGUGUGUGUAUACAGUAUCUCACAAAAAUGAGUACACCCCUUACAUAUUUGUAAAUAUUUUAUUAUAUCUUUUCAUGGGACAACACUGAAGACAUCGCACUUUGAUACAAUGUAAAGUAGUCAGUGUACAGCGUGUAAAUUUGCUGUCCCCUCAAAAUAACUAAACACACAACCAUUGAUGUCUAAAAUGCUGGUAACAAAAGUGAGUAGACCCCUAAGUGAAAAUUGUGCCCAAAGUGUCAAUACUUUGUGUGGCCACCAUUAUUUUCCAGCACUGCCUUAACUGUCUUGGGCUUGGACUUCACUAGAGAUUCAGAGGUUGCCACUGGAAUCCUCUUCAACUCCUCCAUGACGACAUCACGAAGCUGGUGGAUGUUAGAGACCUUGCGCUCCUCCACCUUCCGUUUGAGGCCCCACAGAUGCCCAAUAGGGUUUAGGUCCGGAGACAUGCUUGGCCAGUCCAGCACCUUUACCCUCAGUUUCUUUAGCACGGCAGUGGUCGUCUUGCAGGUGUGUUUGGGGUCGCUAUCAUGUUGGAAUACUGCCCUGCGGCCCAGUUUCCAAAGGGAGGGGAUGAUGCUCUGCUUCAGUAUAUCACAGUACAUGUUGACAUUCAUGUUUCCCUCAAUGAACUGUAGCUCCAAAACAUGAUUUCAUUUCAUAAUGUCCAUGAAAUAUGCAGACGGUUGCGCUGAGUACACCAAAUAUCAGAUGAAGUGAGGGAGGAGGAGUUUUUAUCCACUUUUAACUUUAAUAUUUGGUAUGUCCACCUUUUGCAGCAAUAAUAGCAUCACAUCGAUCUGGCAUAGUGUCAAUACAUUUCCUGAGAACUUCAGCACUAAUGUUAUCCCAUGCCUUCUGCCAAAGAGUUUCCUUUCAAUCUACAAUACAUCUGUCCAGUUUAUUUUCCAAUCCGCCCCAAAUGUGCUUGAUGGGGUUGAGGUCCAGACUUAAUGGGGCCAGUCCAUUCCUUCAGUUGCAGGUAGUUCCUGCAAUAGUUAGUGGAAUGUUUAGGAUCAUUGUCCUCUUGACCGUGUUUUGAAUGGAAAUCCCUGGAUGAAGGUGUGUUUUACCGCUGGCCCGGUCCCAAUAAGACGACUCUCAGAUGGUACUCUGUGCCUCACCAGAAUGUUGCGGUAUACUUUCUUAUCCAUCAUGCCAUCAAUUUUCUCUGUCACCUGUUCCUGAGACUGAAAUGGCACCCCACACCAUAAUACUACCCCCUCCGUAUUUCACUGUUGGCAAGAGACACUCCUUUUUAUAGCUCUCCCCCUCCCUCCAUCCAGUCCUGCUCUUCGCGUCUUACCAAACUUCAAACUUGGUCUCAUCAGUCCAAAACACUUUAUACCAAUCUUCCUUUGUCCAUUUCUUGUAUUCUUUUGCAAAUUUCAGGCGUUUCGCUCUAUUUUUCUCUCUCAGUAAUGGUUUAUUUGCUGCUAUUCUGGCAGCAAGUCCUUCUUCCAGUCUCUGAUGCAUAGUUCUUGAAGACACUGUUUCACCAUUAGUCACUGUGGUGUUGAUCUCAUCACACAGUCUUUCUACAGUCCUUAUGACUGAGAAUUUUGAGAUGCUUCACUUGUCUGUCUGAAAGUUUCUUUUUCCUACCUAACCCCUUUCAGUUCUGACAUGAAUUGGUGGCAUCAUGGUGGUCUAAAGUGUAUUUUACAGUCCUUGGACCGCAUCUCAGGUCCUUGGCUAUGCGGCGGUAACUCCAGCCAGCAUCCAAAAUGGCCUUUAUUCGAACCUGUUGCUCACACGUUAGCUCUUUCUUCACUUUAGCCAUGUUCAAAGAAGAGCAAUACAGUAUGUGCUUCAGGACUACUUCUAGAGGCUUUGAAUUUAUACCAAUUGGUGGUGUGGCCUCAAUGACAAAACCCUGAUGUUUCCAAUCACUUAAUGAGCAGGAUAGACCUUGUACAUUCAAAUUAUCAAACAGCUGUGCCCUAAGACUCUUGCUUCACAAUCAGGUUAACCAUGAUCACACCUGACAGUGAUUACACAAGUAAUUUGGCUUCUUCUGUGAAGGAACAUGAUUGUGUGACAUUGACAGUGAAAUAGGCCAAGCUUGUUUUUUGUAAGGAACAUAACCUAAAUCUCCUUCUGAUGGCUUAUAGAGCACGAUGAUGAUUUUGUAGAGAUUUCAUUAGUUUUAUGGGUAUUUUAAUGGCCAAUUCAACAAAAAAAACUGAAACGUCUUAAAUAUGGCAAGUGUUCUAAUAAUUUUGGCCACUACUUUAUAUGUAUGUGUGACGAUUUUUACUCGUAUAAUGAUGACCCAAACCAGUAAGAUUUUCUCUCUCUAUAUAUAUAUAUGUAUAUGAAGGCUCUCCAUAUAUAACACUAUAUUGCCAAAAGUAUUGGGACACUUGCCUUUACACACACAUGAACUUUAAUG